rnacentral:siRNA from 1 species
CUCGGCUACGAGACGUGCUUCAGC